GAGUUUGAUCAUGGCUCAGAACGAACGCUGGCGGCAGGCUUAACACAUGCAAGUCGAACGAUGUAGCAAUACAUAGUGGCGCACGGGUGAGUAACGCGUGGGAAUAUACCAUAUAGUGGGGAAUAACUUCGGGAAACUGAAGCUAAUACCGCAUACGCCCGAGAGGGGAAAGAUUUAUCGCUAUAUGAUUAGCCCGCGUGAGAUUAGGUAGUUGGUGGGGUAAUGGCCUACCAAGCCGACGAUCUCUAGCUGGUCUGAGAGGAUGAUCAGCCACACUGGAACUGAGACACGGUCCAGACUCCUACGGGAGGCAGCAGUGGGGAAUAUUGGGCAAUGGAGGAAACUCUGACCCAGCCAUGCCGCGUGAAUGAUGAAGGCUUUAGGGUUGUAAAGUUCUUUCGCCGAUGAAGAUAAUGACGGUAGUCGGAGAAGAAGCCCCGGCUAACUUCGUGCCAGCAGCCGCCGCGGU
rnacentral:rRNA from 1 species